GAUGAACGCUAGCUACAGGCUUAACACAUGCAAGUCGAGGGGCAGCACAGUGUAGCAAUACAUGGGUGGCGACCGGCGCACGGGUGCGUAACGCGUAUCCAACCUUCCCGUUACUCAGGGAUAGCCUUCCGAAAGGGAGAUUAAUACCUGAUGGUGUUCAAAUUCCGCAUGUUAUUUGAACUAAAGAUUUAUCGGUAACGGAUGGGGAUGCGUGACAUUAGGUAGAUGGCGGGGUAACGGCCCACCAUGCCUACGAUGUCUAGGGGUUCUGAGAGGAAGGUCCCCCACACUGGUACUGAGACACGGUCCAGACUCCUACGGGAGGCAGCAGUGAGGAAUAUUGGUCAAUGGUCGGAAGACUGAACCAGCCAAGUAGCGUGAAGGAUGAAGGUUCUAUGGAUUGUAAACUUCUUUUAUACGGGAAUAAAACCUCCCACGUGUGGGAGCUUGUAUGUACCGUAUGAAUAAGCAUCGGCUAACUCCGUGCCAGCCGCCGCCGUAAGAC
rnacentral:rRNA from 1 species